GAUGAACGCUAGCGGCAGGCUUAAUACAUGCAAGUCGAGGGGUAGUUUAGAUUCGUCUGAAUUAGACCGGCGCACGGGUGAGUAACACGUACGCAACCUACCCUGUACUGAGGCAUAGCCCCGGAAAUGGGAUUAAUUCCUCAUAGUCCUUUAGAAUGGCAUCAUUCUUUAGGUAAAGCUUAGGCGGUACAGGAUGGGCGUGCGUCUGAUUAGGUAGUUGGUAUGGGUAACGGCCUACCAAGCCUGCGAUCAGUAGCUGGCGUGAGAGCGCGACCAGCCACACUGGAACUGAGACACGGCCCAGACUCCUACGGGAGGCAGCAGUGGGGAAUCUUAGACAAUGGGCGCAAGCCUGAUCUAGCCAUGCCGCGUGAUCGAUGAAGGCCUUAGGGUUGUAAAGAUCUUUCAGAUGGGAAGAUAAUGACGGUACCAUCAGAAGAAGCCCCGGCUAACUCCGUGCCAGCAGCCGCG
rnacentral:rRNA from 1 species